GAUGAACGCUGGCGGCGUGCCUAAUACAUGCAAGUCGAGCGAACGGACGGGAAGCUUGCUUCUCUGAUGUUAGCGGCGGAGGGGUGAGUAACACGUGGAUAACCUACCUAUAAGACUGGGAUAACUUCGGGAAACCGUAGCUAAUACCGGAUAAUAUUUUGAACCGCAUGGUUCAAAAGUGAAAGACGGUCUUGCUGUCACUUAUAGAUGGAUCCGCGCUGCAUUAGCUAGUUGGUAAGGUAACGGCUUACCAAGGCAACGAUGCAUAGCCGACCUGAGAGGGUGAUCGGCCACACUGGAACUGAGACACGGUCCAGACUCCUACGGGAGGCAGCAGUAGGGAAUCUUCCGCAAUGGGCGAAAGCCUGACGGAGCAACGCCGCGUGAGUGAUGAAGGUCUUCGGAUCGUAAAACUCUGUUAUUAGGGAAGAACAUAUGUGUAAGUAACUGUGCACAUCUUGACGGUACCUAAUCAGAAAGCCACGGCUAACUACGUG
rnacentral:rRNA from 1 species